rnacentral:rRNA from 1 species
UACAGAGGGGGCAAGCGUUGUUCGGAAUUACUGGGCGUAAAGGGCGCGUAGGUGGCCUUCUAAGUUGAACGUGAAAUCCCUGGGCUCAACCCAGGAACUGCGUCCAAGACUGGGAGGCUUGAAUCCGGGAGAGGGAUGCGGAAUUCCAGGUGUAGCGGUGAAAUGCGUAGAUAUCUGGAGGAACACCGGUGGCGAAGGCGGCAUCCUGGACUGGUCCUGACACUCAUGAGCGAAAGCGUGGGGAGCGAUCCGG